AGAUUAGAUGUGGAUGUGAUCUACUAUCGCAUUGAUAUGAUCCAUGCUUGUUGAUUUUUAAUUUCAGAUUUUAUAUAUACCAUAUAUCAUUUUAUAGGUCCUAGUGUAGGUAUUUUAAGAUUUGAUCUAAAGCAUGCUUAUUUGAUUAAAUUGUUUAAUUUGGUCUGCUUUCGUCAAAAAAUUUUGAAAUGCUUGCUUAAAACGCCUGCCCAUUUCCUUCACUGCACACUCCGCUCCACC
rnacentral:lncRNA from 1 species